AUCAGUCACAUGAAAAACAUCCAUGAACCACCUUCCAUCGGAAGAAAUAUAAGCUUUUUUAAUUGAAAGGUUCAGAUCCGUGAGAACCUGAACAGCCUCGAGCAAAAUUCCAUGUUUCCUGGCACUGUCAACCUUGACAAGAGUCGCAGUGGGGCAAACGGCAUUGUCGAUGACAACCCUGGGAGUGGUCAUCCUUAUAACAAGCUUUUCAUACUCAUCCAAACAAGCACUCCACUCCAUUUCUAUAAAGCUU
rnacentral:misc_RNA from 1 species